UAACACCAGUUCCUAUAUGAUCACCAAAGUUAAGCAACAUCAAGCCUGGUUAGUACCUAGAUGGGUGACCACUUGGGAAUAUGAAGUGCUGUAAG